rnacentral:rRNA from 1 species
GACGAACGCUGGCGGCGUGCUUAACACAUGCAAGUCGAACGGAGCGCCUGUGAUUGAGGUUUCGGCCAAAUGAUUCAGGUUGCUUAGUGGCGGACUGGUGAGUAACGCGUGAGGAACCUGCCUUUCAGAGGGGGACAACAGUUGGAAACGACUGCUAAUACCGCAUGACGCAUGACUGGGCAUCCCGGACAUGCCAAAGAUUUAUCGCUGAAAGAUGGCCUCGCGUCUGAUUAGAUAGUUGGCGGGUAACGGCCCACCAAGUCGACGAUCAGUAGCCGGACUGAGAGGUUGACCGGCCACAUUGGGACUGAGAUACGGCCCAG